UUUUUUUUUUUUUCCUUUUUUAGGUAGUAGGUAAACUACUAAUUAUAGCACAAACUCUGAAAGUAUUCAAUGUCCAGACUGAAGUGUAUAUAUCAGCUGAAUAACUAACAACUCAAUCUGGGGAUCAGAGAGUCUCAUAGUUGUUGGUUUAUGAAUCUAGGCAUAGUCAUGAGGAAGGUAGAUGAGUCAGCUGGGCUCCUGUUUUGGAGGUGGAGGCCAGGAAUGGAGAGGAACAGUCUAUAGCUUAAGAGAACCAAAAACAAACAAACCAAAAACCACUGGCUGAGCAGAAAUCAAAAAUAGCUUUUUUGUCUCACUUCCUCUAUCUGCAUUGCAUUCUUUGAACUUCAGUUUCCUCAUCUGAAAAAUGAGAGUCUAGGCUUACUGCAGAGAGCCACUGGGAGCCUCAAGUGGGAUAAACUAUCUGCAAUAGUUUAUAAUCUUUGAAGUGUACGGACGACAUAAGGUGAAACUUGUAUUCAUUGGCAGACAACGCUCUAUGAUAAAUCAGGAAAUUAAACUAAAGGAGUCCAGAAGCAGGACUUCUAGUGACUAAAGCUAAAGUUACUCCUAGAAUUGAGAAAUUCUGGAGAGUUCCCGUUGUGGUACAGAGGAAAUGAAUCCGACUGGGAACCAUGAGGUUGUGGGUUUGAUCCUUGGCCUCGCUCAGUGGGUUAAGGAUCUGGCGUGUCAGUGAGCUGUGGUGUAGGUGGCAGACAUGGCUUGGAUCUCAAGUUGCUGUGGCUAUGGCAUAGGCCGGCGGCUACAGCUCCAAUUCAACCCCUAGCCUGAGAACCUCCAUAUGCCACAUGUGCAGCCCUAAAAAGAAAAAGAAAAAAAAAAAAAUUCCAAAGAACUAUCAGAAACUUACGCCACUGUUUAUUAACUAAUUUGAAAAAAAAAUAAGAUAUGUGUUAUGCAUUGUGUCUUUAUGUAACUGUUAGCCAAAUUUUUUAUUUGCAUUACUGUAUUCAAGAUGCUAUAACCUAACUUCUAAUAAAUGAGACUCAGGGUGGCUGGCUUGAAAUGGCACACAACAGUAUUAAACAUAGUUCGGCAGCCAACUUCUUCAUCACAAAAUAUGUUGCCAAACUUAACACUAACUUACUUUUACUCAUUUAACUUCCACACAUGGGAAGGUUAAAAAAAAAAAAAA
rnacentral:lncRNA from 1 species